rnacentral:rRNA from 1 species
UACGAAGGGUGCAAGCGUUACUCGGAAUUACUGGGCGUAAAGCGUGCGUAGGCGGUUUGUUAAGUCCGUUGUGAAAGCCCUGGGCUCAACCUGGGAAUUGCAGUGGAUACUGGCGAGCUAGAGUGCGGUAGAGGAUGGUGGAAUUCCCGGUGUAGCGGUGAAAUGCGUAGAUAUCGGAAGGAACACCAGUGGCGAAAGCGGCUUCCUGGUCCGACACCGACGUUCAGGCACGAAAGCGUGGGGAGCAAACAGG